UACGGGGGGGGCAAGCGUUGUUCGGAAUUACUGGGCGUAAAGGGCUUGUAGGUGGCCAACUAAGUCGGACGUGAAAUCCCUCGGCUUAACCGGGGAACUGCGUCUGAUACUGGAUGGCUUGAGUUCGGGAGAGGGAUGCGGAAUUCCAGGUGUAGCGGUGAAAUGCGUAGAUAUCUGGAGGAACACCGGUGGCGAAGGCGGCAUCCUGGACCAAUACUGACACUGAGGAGCGAAAGCCAGGGGAGCAAACGGG
rnacentral:rRNA from 1 species